UACGAAGGGUGCGAGCGUUAUUCGGAUUUAUUGGGCGUAAAGGGUUCGUAGGCGGGAGGAUAAGUUAAGUGUGAAAUAUCUGGGCUUAACCCAGAAAGUGCAUUUAAAACUGUUUUUCUUGAGUGCUAAAGAGGGUGGUGGAAUUGCUGGUGUAGGAGUGACAUCCGUAGAGAUCAGCAGGAACAUCGGAGGCGAAGGCGGCCACCUGGUUAGUUACUGACGCUGAGGAACGAAAGCAUGGGGAGCAAAC
rnacentral:rRNA from 1 species